UAGCUACAGGCUUAACACAUGCAAGUCGAGGGGCAUCAGGAAGAAAGCUUGCUUUCUUUGCUGGCGACCGGCGCACGGGUGAGUAACACAUAUCCAACCUGCCCUUUACUCGGGGAUAGCCUUUCGAAAGAAAGAUUAAUACCCGAUAGCAUAAUGAUUCCGCAUGGUUUCAUUAUUAAAGGAUUCCGGUAAAGGAUGGGGAUGCGUUCCAUUAGGUUGUUGGUGAGGUAACGGCCCACCAAGCCUUCGAUGGAUAGGGGUUCUGAGAGGAAGGUCCCCCACAUUGGAACUGAGACACGGUCCAAACUCCUACGGGAGGCAGCAGUGAGGAAUAUUGGUCAAUGGGCGCUAGCCUGAACCAGCCAAGUAGCGUGAAGGAUGAAGGCUCUAUGGGUCGUAAACUUCUUUUAUAUAAGAAUAAAGUGCAGUAUGUAUACUGUUUUGUAUGUAUUAUAUGAAUAAGGAUCGGCUAACUCCGUGCCAGCAGCCGCGGUAAUACGGAGGAUCCGAGCGUUAUCCGGAUUUAUUGGGUUUAAAGGGAGCGUAGGUGGACUGGUAAGUCAGUUGUGAAAGUUUGCGGCUCAACCGUAAAAUUGCAGUUGAUACUGUCAGUCUUGAGUACAGUAGAGGUGGGCGGAAUUCGUGGUGUAGCGGUGAAAUGCUUAGAUAUCACGAAGAACUCCGAUUGCGAAGGCAGCUCACUGGACUGCAACUGACACUGAUGCUCGAAAGUGUGGGUAUCAAACAGGAUUAGAUACCCUGGUAGUCCACACAGUAAACGAUGAAUACUCGCUGUUUGCGAUAUACAGUAAGCGGCCAAGCGAAAGCAUUAAGUAUUCCACCUGGGGAGUACGCCGGCAACGGUGAAACUCAAAGGAAUUGACGGGGGCCCGCACAAGCGGAGGAACAUGUGGUUUAAUUCGAUGAUACGCGAGGAACCUUACCCGGGCUUAAAUUGCAGUGGAAUGAUGUGGAAACAUGUCAGUGAGCAAUCACCGCUGUGAAGGUGCUGCAUGGUUGUCGUCAGCUCGUGCCGUGAGGUGUCGGCUUAAGUGCCAUAACGAGCGCAACCCUUAUCUUUAGUUACUAACAGGUUAUGCUGAGGACUCUAGAGAGACUGCCGUCGUAAGAUGUGAGGAAGGUGGGGAUGACGUCAAAUCAGCACGGCCCUUACGUCCGGGGCUACACACGUGUUACAAUGGGGGGUACAGAAGGCAGCUAGCGGGUGACCGUAUGCUAAUCCCAAAAUCCUCUCUCAGUUCGGAUCGAAGUCUGCAACCCGACUUCGUGAAGCUGGAUUCGCUAGUAAUCGCGCAUCAGCCACGGCGCGGUGAAUACGUUCCCGGGCCUUGUACACACCGCCCGUCAAGCCAUGGGAGCCGGGGGUACCUGAAGUACGUAACCGCAAGGAUCGUCCUAGGGUAAAACUGGUGACUG
rnacentral:rRNA from 1 species